AGUGAACGCUGGCGGUAGGCCUAACACAUGCAAGUCGAACGGCAGCACAGUAAGAGCUUGCUCUUACGGGUGGCGAGUGGCGGACGGGUGAGGAAUACAUCGGAAUCUACUUUUUCGUGGGGGAUAACGUAGGGAAACUUACGCUAAUACCGCAUACGACCUACGGGUGAAAGCAGGGGAUCUUCGGACCUUGCGCGAUUGAAUUAGCCGAUGUGGGACUAGCUAGUUGGCGGGGUAAAGGCCCACCAAGGCGACGAUCCGUAGCUGGUCUGAGAGGAGGGUCAGCCACAUUGGAACUGAGACACGGUCCAGACUCCUGCGGGAGGGAGCAGUGGGGAAUAUUGGACAAUGGGCGCAAGCCUGAUCCAGCCAUAGCGAGUGGGUGAAGAAGGCCUUCGGGUUGUAAAGCCCUUUUGUUGGGAGAGAAAAGCAGCAGGUUAAUACCCCGCUGUUCUGACGGUACCCAAAGAAUAAGCACCGGCUAACUUCGUG
rnacentral:rRNA from 1 species